UACGGAGGGAGCUAGCGUUAUUCGGAAUUACUGGGCGUAAAGCGCACGUAGGCGGCUUUGUAAGUAAGAGGUGAAAGCCCAGAGCUCAACUCUGGAAUUGCCUUUUAGACUGCAUCGCUUGAAUCAUGGAGAGGUCAGUGGAAUUCCGAGUGUAGAGGUGAAAAUUCGUAGAUAUUCGGGAAGAACACCAGUGGCGAAGGCGGCUGACUGGACAUGUA
rnacentral:rRNA from 1 species